rnacentral:rRNA from 1 species
GUAACACGUGAGUGACCUGCCUUUUAGACUGGAACACUUACAAGGUGAGCUAAUGCCGGAUGAGUUAUAUAAGUGCAUGUUUAUAUAGGAAAAGUUGGGGAGACCUGACGCUGAAAGAUGGACUCGCGUCCCAUUAGCUAGUUGGUAGGGUAAUGGCCUACCAAGGCGACGAUGGGUAGCCGGCCUGAGAGGGUGGCCGGCCACACUGGGACUGAGACACGGCCCAGACUCCUACGGAAGGCAGCAG